ACGCAAUCGUCCGUCUCCCACACCAAGCAGUCGUCGUCCGUCUCCGUCUCCAACACAAUCCGCCGCCGCCUUCUCCUCCCAUCACCGUCUCGCAUCCCGUCGCUUCCGCCGUCGGCCGAUUGAUGAGUGUUUCCUGUUUCUUCGUCCGCCGUCGCUCCCCGCACUCACGCACGCGUACAACCAUCUUGCUCGCCUCAGCCCACGAACCCUAGACGCCACGGAGAUGGAGCAUCUCCGCCGCCUCGCCCAGUUCUUGCUCGCCUCAGCUCGCGGGGAUGGAGCAGGACGGCGCCACCCGUCCCCUCGCACCAUGCCCAGGACGGCGGCGCCGUGGACGGCUGGGCGCACGACGGCACGGAGCCCCCCCUCCCUUACGGCGCCCCGGCAGAGUGCCCCGAGGCCGCAGAUCCUCCUCUUUGUCGGCGCUUCCGCGGCCACGUCUCCGCUGCCGCCUCCGCGUGCGCGACCCUCGCGGUGGGGAGGAGGCCUGCAACGACCUUGAUGCCUGCUCCUCGACCACAACUACUGCGUCCGCAAGAAAGCCGCAUGGAUUGGGGAUAUGUACUUGGGUUUGGGUUUAAAGGGGCAAUCUUUGAGCAUUUGUAUCAACUAUCAAGGAUCUCAAGUUCACAUCGAUCGCACUAUGAUCAAGUGCAUUCCGGUGCUAUGAUGAUUGUCACAGAAGAUGUUAGCUGCAGAAGCAAUCGCUGUCUCAGCUUCAAUAUUAAAAAUCAGUGCACCUGAAUUGCGACACAGUUUUUCUCAUUUGGAACUGCGGUUAUAAGGUGUUUAAUCUGAAAGCUACGCUUUCAUGAAAUCAUCAGGAUUUUGACCUCCAUACGAAAUCUGCAAGGGUAACAACAACAAAGGAAACUGGUGUAAGAUUGAGUACUAAGACUCGAAGAUGAGCUACCAUCAAGAUUAUGUCUCGACAAUCAAGUAUAGUGAUGUUUUUUACCGAACUCACAGAAGCAUAUUGUGUAUCCCAUCCAGCGUUCAACCUAAUGGACAUCGAGGGAACCACUUUGAGUAGGCAAUUGUUUGUGUGGAAAAUGCAUGGUACUAAAGCUAACCUUCCUCUGGUCCAGAUGAAAUCAAGGCAAGUGGGUCUUCUAUCUUCAAACAUCAAUUUGUUAGUUUUUCCUGGCUUCAGUGCAUCCCAUCAUAUUACUGUGUUUAAACAUAAUUGCAAUGUGCUAAUUAUUUUCUAAAAAAAUUACAGUGUACUAAUUAAGUAAAACUUAUUUGAAGUAGAUGUAGCAUGACCUUGGAUUUUGCACAUGGACCUCUCAAAUUUCGAGUAGUCGUACUUCUACAUAUGUGCUCACCAAAUAUCUGCAUGAUUAUUAUGAACGUGGUAAACUCUGAAGCUAUUUUCUUUAUUAGUCCUAAAAGAAACUAAACUAUUUGUGUGGGACCAGAGAAGCGUACUUUCAAUACAAACUGCAAUUGCUUGGGCAAGAGAAAUCAACUCAAUACUGCAAUUUUCCAUAUGAAGUAGUAAGAGGAGGUGUACAAUUGUAAACUGAUUUAGGCUGAAGGCUAGCUGCAUUUUGGUAUGUGGUCAAACCCGGCAAGCUGCAACUAUGUGGAGCAUCCACACUACUGCCACCGCAUGCUUGCUAAAAGGCUUAAUCUGACCGUCCCUGUAGUCCACAUCUUCGGCGAGCAUGUUUGAUGGCAAGCUCGGGCAACUGUUGUUCUGUUGAGUAUCCAGAUGAUAACCGUCAUGAAAAUCACUACAUGGAUCGAUGUGCCCAUCAUGUCUGGUAGUAGAUGAUGCAUUAUUUGAGCUUGAUAGAGUAUGACUAUAUCCCACGCGGUCUUGUUUGCAUCAAAAGUGUGGCCCACUUUGGAGACACACCAACCAUUUUGGUAGUGGGCAUCUUAACAGUUUUAUUUGGGCCUCAUUCCCCUAAUACGCUAGUAAUUGUCUCCUUUCUCGUAUUUCUCUUAGUCUCACUCCCAUACACUUCAUGAUCUGAGAGAGGGAAUGCUAGCAGCCAUGGUGGCAGUGUCCCCUCCCAAGAAAAAAAAGUAGGUACAGCUAGUCCUAUAGUCAGCCAUCGCACUGUAAAAAUAGGAUAGGUUCGAUCUAUGGUAAUUGAGGGCCUCCUAAAAGGAUCUACUAAAUUCAUCUGAGUUGUUCUAAAGAAUAAAAACGAUCGGUUGUUCAUGCAACUUGAGAGGAUGAAGGAUCUAGCGAUGUUGCGUGAAAGGCAUCGGCGCCAGUGAGUUUGCCACCAUCCUAGCGACGACGACAAUGAGGCAAAGCAUAUAGUGGAGGGCAGAGCAAGACGGCUGAGGGAGAUGGCUCAUUAAAAGAAUUCACAACACGCAAAUGACCAAUGUAGUAGAGAAGAGGAUGAGGGGGAAUCACUGGGGACAAGCCAGGUGAGGUAGUCUCAGGAAAUGAAUGAGGCGGGAAAGCCGCAGGUGAUGAUGAGCUUGAUAAAGAAGCGAUUAGAGGUAGAAGACACCUCAAUCCCUAGGAAGUAGCAAAGAGGACCAAGAUCAGACAUAAGAAACCCACUAUGAUGAGCCUUCACAAAGGCAAUGUACUUAGAGUCAUCGCAGUGAUGAUCGACAUAUAGAAGGAGAGUGGAAAGAAGUGUAGGAUCAUGAGCACUCGCCGAAAACUUGCCGCAAUCACCACUGAGACAAAAUGCUCAAAGUGGGCACGAGGGGUUUGCUUAAGGCCAUAAAAGAGCGAUGAAGACGACAAACCAUGCCAUCAGGAAGAGAAUACCCAGGUGGUGGGUAUAUGUAGACCUCAUGCAACAGGAAGAGAAAUGAUAUCCCACAUGCCUAUGCGUGCAAGAGAAAUAAUCUCUUCUACAAUCGCAUGCUGCUAUUCAUGAUGAACAAAUGCGUCAUACUAAGAAGUCGUCUUGAGAAAAGCGACGCUAGAAUAACCAAUAACCAUAGGGCCAAUAGGCAGAAGCGAGCGAGCUCGGAAGCCAUAAGUAGGCCGAGCUUUACGUGGUGCGUUGCCAACAGGAAAGGCCAUUGUAGUCCAGGGAGAUGGCUCAUUAGAAGGAUCCACAACACGUGGACCAUAGGUGUAGUGAAGAUGAUAAGGGGGAAUCAUCGGGGAAACCUCAUGGAUGAGCGAGGUGAGGUAGCCUCAGGUAAUGAACAAGGUGGGGAAGCCGCAUGUGGCGACGUGUGGGGUCUAUAACAGUAAUAUGUGAGGAUAAACUGGGAUAGGUGGGCGAGGGCAAUAAAUGAGUGAUAAGUGUAUCAGGAAAAUUGACGGAAGAAAUAUCGUCAAUGGGGGAGGCCCAAGGAGAGGAUGGUCUUGGAUAGAAAGGACGAGACUCAAUCAGAAGUCACAUAUCAAGGAACACCCAUCUGACGACUAACAAGAUCCCAACACCGGUAGCCCUUGUGCUUAUCACUGCAAUUUAAGAAGACACAUUCAAUAGACUGAUCAAAUAGUUUGGUGCAUGAAGAACGUAGCAAACACAACCAAACAAAUGAAGUGUUGAGUAGUUAGGAGAGAAUGCUCACAAAGACACUCGAGAGGAAUGUCGCCCUGUAGAGCUGAGGAAAGAUGAAUGUUGAUGAGAUAGGUGGCUAUGGUCAUCAACGCGCUAGCCGCCUCAUGAAGGUGAGGAUGCUUGCGCUCAACAACCCUAUUCUAAGCAUGAGCACCAGGACAAGAGAACUGAGCAAGUGUGCUUUGCUCAACAAGGAAUUUGCGCAACAAAUGAGAGAGAUACACACAAGCAGAAUCUGCACGAAAGACAUGGAUAGUAGUGAAAAACUGGGUAUGAACCAAGGCGACAAACUUCUUAUAGAUAGAUAGACCUCACUACAAGAAGGCAUAAAAUAUAUUGACUUGUGUCGAGAGAAAUAAUUGUAAAGAUAAUAUAGUGGCGAUGGCCUCCUUUCGAGGCGAAGAGAGCUAGGUCCCAAAUAUUAGAGUGAACAAGAUUGAAAGUACGCCGAGACACAAUCUCGCUAUGAGGAUACGGUAACUAAACGUGUUUACCUAGCAGACAAACUUGGCCAUCUAAAGUUACAUUGCGAGACAGAUCCUAGAAUACCACAUCGUUCUAAGGAUGAGAGACUAGAGCCACACAUGUGACUGAGAUGAUGUCGCCACAAAGAGUCAGUAGACAAGGUAAGAGAGUCGAAGAGAGUGGCGGAUGUGCUAGUGGAGGGAAGGCAUAGCCUGGCAAGCUUCAGUGGCUGUGUGAGUCACAACGUCGAGGGCCAACACCAAGCAGAGCACCCGUGUGCCGUUCCUAAAUUAGGACAAGAGUUAAAGUCAAGAAUAUUGGAGAUGAUGUCGCCACAAAGAGUCGGUAGACAAGGUAAGAGAGUCGAAGAGAAUGGCGGAUGUGGUAGCGGAGGGAAGGCAUAGACUGGCAAGCUUCAGUGGCUGCGUGAGUCACAAUGUCGAGGGCUAACACCAAGCAGAGCACACGUGUGCCGUUCCUAAAUUAGGACAAGAGUUAAAGUCAAGAAUAUUGGAGUAAUAGAAAUAUUGUUUGUGUUAGGUUCAAUGAUACAUUUGCUUGGAUUCUAGGACGGAGUUAAGCUUGAUAUUGGGCACUUGGAUUUGUGAUAUUUUGACAUGAGCUUGAAACUGGAGAACUUUAGGGUGUACCAUGAUGAAUCUGAGAUAUAUUGAAUUUAUAUAGGUAUAGUAUGAUUAGCAUGAAUGUGGUAUUUGUGGACUAUUGGAUCAUCUUGGAUAUUACUAGUUGGAUUCUAGGUUAGAGAUAACUUGAGCAGUUGGAUUUGUGAUAUUUUGACCUAAGCUUAGUAGCUUGUAUGUGCCCCAUAUGGCUAUGAGCAUGCAGAUAAUACGAUCGUAGUUGGUAGACCAUGAUGAUUUUGCUAACCCUCCCCAAGAAUAUUACAAGUACAAGAUCAUCAUGGGAGGAUGAUUUGGAUUAAUUAGAAUAGAUGACAAUUUCAGUUGUAUGAGCUCUGUUGGAGCAGCUGAUGUUGCUUUUAUUAUGUUUUUGUGCUCCUUUAGAUGUGGUAGUAGGACGAUAGGACUUAUGAAGUGAUACUAUAUUGGUGGAUAAAUAGAUCUUUAAUAACCUUGAAACUGGAGAACUUUAGGGUAGGACUUAUGAAGUAUGGAUUUACUUGCACGAUUGUGAUCUUGAAGAAAAUCUGGUGGAUAAAUAACUUCUAAGUUUUGGAUCUAUAGUCAUCCAUUGGAAGCUCGCUUUAUACUGGACUUAGAUAACCAUGAUAGUGGGCUUGGUUGGAUCAUAGUUAUGAUUUGUACUAGAUGCACACCUUUAGAGAUUGAAACUAGAGAACUUUAGGGUGUAAUAUGAAUAUGAUCAAUUGGAUAUAUUGGAUUUAUAUGAUUAUAAUAUGAUCAAUAUGAUUGUGAAAAUUGAUGGAAGAAAGCAAAGAUAUUGGAGUAAUAGAAAUGUUGCUUGUGUUAGGUUCAAAUGAUGUAUCUUCUUGAAUGCUAGGUCGGAGUUGCUUGGAUUCUAGGUCGGAGUUAAACUUGAGAUUGGGCACUAGGAUUUGUGAUAUUUUGGCAUGUGCUUGAAACUGGAGAACUUUAGGGUGUAGCAUGAUCAACCGGAGAUGUAUUGGAUUUAUAUAGCUAUAGUAUGAUUAGCAUGAAUUUGGUAUUGGUGGACUAUUGGAUGAUCUUGGAUAUUACUAGUUGGAUUCUAGGUUGGAGAUAACUUGUGCACCUAGAUUUGUGAUAUUUUGACCUAAGCUUAGUAGCUUUUAUGUGCCCCAUAUGGAUAUGAGCAUGGAGAUGAUAGAAUCGGAUCGUAGUUGGUAGACUUUGAUGAUUUUGCUAGCCCUCCCCAAGAAUGUUACGAGUACAAGAUCAUCAUGGGAGGAUGAUUUGGUUAAUUAGAAUAGAUGAUUAUUUCAGUGGUAUGAGCCUUGUUGGAGCAGCUGAUCUUGCUUUUAUUAUGUGUUUGUGCUCCUUUAGAUGCAGUAGGAGGAGGCUAGUAGUUAUGACGUGAUAUUAUAUUGGUGGAUAAGUAGAUCUUUAACAAUGUUGGAAUAGUUUGGAUUUACUUAGAUGAUUGUGAUCUUGAAAACUAAUCUGGUGGGUAAAUAACUUCUAAUAUUUGGAUCUAUAGUAAUCCAGUGGAGGCUGAGGUAGUUGGAGAGGACCGAUGAGAAAGCACAUGAGAAGCUUUACUCGAUCUCCUUAAGAUCGACAUUGCCGCACGGCUUGGCGCAAAGCCGGUGCGGUUGACAGGGUUUUCACCCUCUCCCACACCUCAUGUGCAUUGUUCAUUCUCGCCAAUUCGGCUUGGUGUCCUUCCCUUGUUUGCGAGUUCCGUGCCAAUGACUUGAUCUGGCAUCACACGUUCUCCCGCCGUGCGUCCUUGGUCUUGGCGGUAGGUAAUGUCGUGCUCUCGGGCUGUGUCUCGUGGGUUAGCCAUUGCGGUGCCGACUGCCUGUGUGGCUAUGGCGGCGCCCAGCUGGGAAACACGAGAUGUGGGAUUGAGGCAUCGCACAUAAUAACCCGAAGCCAGGCAAAGGAUGCCGGUCGGACUGGCAGGGAGCGGAUGGCACCUGUGGUAUGGUGGAAGGGAUGAAAACAUUGGUGGGAGCGAACUGUCAUUGCCGUUAUUCAUUGUACUUGGAGCCAAGCGUUGCGGGGAUGACGAUUGGGGAAGGUGGGAAGAUGGUUGGAUCAUAGUUAUGAUCACUACUAGAUUCACAGCGUUUGAGAUUGAAACUGGAGAACUUUAGUGUGUAGUAUGAUCAAUUGGAGAUAUAUUUUAUUUAUGUGUAAUAUGAUCCGCAUGAUUGUGAAAAUUGAUGGACUAUUACAUUAUCUUGGAUUGAAUUAGUAGGAAGAAAACAAAGAUAUUGGAGUAAUAGAAAUGUUGUUUGUGUUAGAUUCAAAUGUUCAAUGAAAUAUGUGCUUGGAUUCUAGGUCGGAGUUACGAUAGGGCACUUGGAUUUGUGAUAUUUUGACAGCUUGAAACUGGAGAACUUUGGGGUGUAGCAUGAUCAACCUGAGAUGUAUUGGAUUUAUAUAGGUAUAGUAUGAUUAGCAUGAAUGCGGUGUUGGUGGACUAUUGGAUGAUCUUGGAUAUUACUAUUUGGACUGUAGGUUGGAUAUAACUGGAGCAGUUGGAUUUGUGAUAUUUUGGCCUAAGCUUAGUAGCUUGUAUGUGCUCCAUAUGGAUAUGAGCAUAGAGAUGAUACAAGUGGAUCGUAGUUGGUAGACUUUGAUGAUUUCGCUAGCCCUCCCCAAGAAUGUUACAAGUACAAGAUUACCAUGGGACGAUGAUUUGGAUUAAUUAGAAUAGAUGACCAUUUUGUGCUCCUUUAGAUGCAGUAGUGGGAGGAGAGUAGUACUUAUGAAGUGAUAUUAUAUUGGUGGAUAAAUAGAUCUUUAAUAACCUUGGAAAAAUUUGGAUUUACUUAGUUGAUUGUGAUGUUGAAAAAAAAUUGAUGGAUAAGUAAAUUCUAAUUUUUUGAUCUAUAGUGAUGUAGUGAAAGCUUGCUUUAUACUGGAUGAUAACCAUGAUAGUGGGCUUGUUUGGAUCAUAGUUAUGAUUUGUACAAGAUGCACACCUUUAGAGAUUGAACGUGGAGAACUUUAGGGUCUAGUAUGAUCAAUCAGACAUAUGUUGGAUUUAUAUGUGUAAUAUGAUCAGCAGGAUUGUGAAAAUUGAUGGACCAUUACAUCAUCUUGGGUUGAAUUAGUAGGUAGAAAACAAAGAUAUUGGUGUAAUAGAAAUGUUUGUGUAAGGUUCAAUGAUAUAUUUGCUUGGAUUCUAGGUCGGAGUUAAACUUGAGAUCGGGCACUUGGAUGAUGUUUUGACAUGAGCUUGAAGCUAGAAUUUUAGGGUGUAGCAUGAUCAACUUGAGAUGUAUUGAAUUUAUAUAGGUAUGGUAUGAUUAGCACGAAUGGGCUAUUGGUGGGCUAUUGGAUCAUCUUUGAUAUUACUAGUUGGAUUCUAGGUUAGAGAUAACUUGAGCACUUGGAUUUGUCAUAUUUUGACCUGCUUAGUAGCUUGUAUGUGCCCCAUAUGGAUAUGAGCAUGGAGAUGGUACAAAUAGAUCAUAGUUGGUAAACUUGAUGAUUUUGCUAGCCCUCCCCAAGAAUGUUACCAGUACAAGAUCAUCAUGGAAGAAUGAUUUGGAUUAAUUAGAAUAUAUGACAAUUUCAGUGUAUGAGCCUUGUUGGAGCAGUUGAUCUUGCUUUUAUUAUGUGUUUGUGCUCCUUUAGAUGCCGUAGUAGGAGGAGGGUACUAGUUAUGACAUGAUAUUAUAUUAGUGGAUAAAUAUAUCUUUGAUAACUUUGGAACAGUUUGGAUUUACUUAAGAUGAUUGUGAUCUUGAAAAAAAAUCUGGUGGAUAAAUAACUUCUAGAUUUUGAAUAUAUAGCCAUCCAGUGGAAGAUUGCUUUAUACUGGACUUAGAUAAACCAUGAUAGUGGGCUUGGUUGGAUCAUAGUUAUGAUUUGUACUAGAUGCACACCUUUAGAGAUUGAAACUAGAGAACUUUAGGGUGUAAUAUGAAUAUGAUCAAUUGGAUAUAUUGGAUUUAUAUGAUUAUAAUAUGAUCAAUAUGAUUGUGAAAAUUGAUGGAAGAAAGCAAAGAUAUUGGAGUAAUAGAAAUGUUGCUUGUGUUAGGUUCAAAUGAUGUAUCUUCUUGAAUGCUAGGUCGGAGUUGCUUGGAUUCUAGGUCGGAGUUAAACUUGAGAUUGGGCACUAGGAUUUGUGAUAUUUUGGCAUGUGCUUGAAACUGGAGAACUUUAGGGUGUAGCAUGAUCAACCGGAGAUGUAUUGGAUUUAUAUAGCUAUAGUAUGAUUAGCAUGAAUUUGGUAUUGGUGGACUAUUGGAUGAUCUUGGAUAUUACUAGUUGGAUUCUAGGUUGGAGAUAACUUGUGCACCUAGAUUUGUGAUAUUCUGACCUAAGCUUAGUAGCUUUUAUGUGCCCCAUAUGGAUAUGAGCAUGGAGAUGAUAGAAUCUGAUCGUAGUUGGUAGACUUUGAUGAUUUUGCUAGCCCUCCCCAAGAAUGUUACGAGUACAAGAUCAUCAUGGGAGGAUGAUUUGGAUUAAUUAGAAUUAGAAUAGAUGAUUAUUUCAGUGGUAUGAGCCUUGUUGGAGCAGCUGAUCUUGUUUUUAUUAUGUGUUUGUGCUCCUUUAGAUGCAGUAGGAGAAGGAGGUUAGUAGUUAUGACGUGAUAUUAUAUUGGUGGAUAAGUACAUCUUUAACAAUGUUGGAAUAGUUUGGAUUUACUUAGAUGAUUGUGAUCUUGAAAACUAAUCUGGUGGGUAAAUAACUUCUAAUGUUUGGAUGUAUAGUAAUCCAGUGGAGGCUGAGGUAGUUGGAGAAGACUGAUGAGAAAGCACAUGAGAAGCUUUACUCGAUCUCCUUAAGAUCGACAUUGCCGCACGGCUUGGCGCAAAGCCGGUGCGGCUGACAGGGUUUUCACCCUCUCCCACACCUCAUGUGCAUUGUUCAUUCCCGCCAAUUCGGCUUGGUGCCCUUCCCUUGUUUGCGAGUUCCGUGCCAAUGACUUGAUCUGACAUCACUCGUUCUCCCGACGUGCGUCCUUGGUCUUGGUGGUAGGUAACGUCGUGCUCUCGGGCUGUGUCUUGUGGGUUAGCCAUCGCGGUGCCGACUGCCUGUGUGGCUAUGCCGGCGCCCAGCAGAGAAACACGAGAUGUGGGAUUGAGGCAUCGCACAUAGUAACCCGAAGCCAGGCAAAGGAUGCCGGUAGGACUGGCAGGGAGCGGAUUGCAUAUGAGGUAUGGCGGAAUGGAUGAAAAUGUUGUUGGGAGCCAACUGUACUUGGAGCCAAGCGUCGAGGGGAUGGCGAUUGGGUAAGGCGGGAAGAUGGUUGGAUCAUAGUUAUAUUACUACUAGAUUCACACCUUCAGAGAUUGAAACUUGUGAACUUUAGGGUGUAGCAUGAUCAACCUGAGAUGUAAUUAGAUUUAUAUGUUGGGAGCCAACUAUACUUGGAGCCAAGCGUCGAGGGGAUGGCGAUUGGGUAAGGCGGGAAGAUGGUUGGAUCAUAGUUAUAUUACUACUAGAUUCACACCUUCAGAGAUUGAAACUUGUGAACUUUAGGGUGUAGCAUGAUCAACCUGAGAUGUAAUUAGAUUUAUAUGUUGGGAGCCAACUAUACUUGGAGCCAAGCGUCGAGGGGAUGGCGAUUGGGUAAGGCGGGAAGAUGGUUGGAUCAUAGUUAUAUUACUACUAGAUUCACACCUUCAGAGAUUGAAACUUGUGAACUUUAGGGUGUAGCAUGAUCAACCUGAGAUGUAAUUAGAUUUAUAUGUGUAAUGAUUGACAUGCAUGCUGUAUUGGUGGACUAUUGGAUGGUCUUGGAUAUUACUAGUUGGAUUGUAGGCUGGAGAUAACUUGAGCACUUGGACUUGUGAUAUUUUGACCUAAGCUUAGUACCUUGUAUGUGCCCCAUAUGGAUAUGAGCAUGGAGAUGAUACAAACGGAUCGUAGUUGGUAGGCUUUGAUGGUUUUGCUAGCCCUCCCCAAGAUUUGUGAUAUUUUGACCUAAGCUUAGUACCUUGUAUGUGCCCCAUAUGGAAAUGAGAAUGGAGAUGAUACAAACGGAUCAUAGUUGGUAGACUUUGAUGGUUUUGCUAGCCCUCCCCAAGAAUGUUACGAGUACAAGAUCAUUGGAGGAUGAUUUGGAUUAAUUAGAAUAGAAUUUCAGUGGUAUGAGCCUUGUUGGAGUAGCUAAUCUUGCCUUUAUUAUUUGUUUGCGCUCCUUUAGAUGCAGUAGUAGAAGGAGGGUAGUACUUAUGAAGUGAUAUUAUAUUGGUGGAUAAAUAGAUCUUCAAUAACCAUGGAACAGUUUGGAUUUAGUUAGGUGAUUGUGAUCUUGAAAAACAUCUCGUAGAUAAAUAAAUUCUUUUUUUUGGGUCUAUAGUCAUCUAGUGGAAGCUUGGUUUAUACUGGACUUAGAUAACCAUGAUAGUGAGCUUGGUUGGAUCAUAGUUAUGAUUUGUACUAGAUGCACACCUUUAGCGAUUGGAACUUGAGACCUUUAGAGGUUGGAUCAUAGUUAGAGAUGCACACCUUUAGAGAUUGGAGAUAUAUUGGAUUUAUAUGAGUAUAAUAUGAAUUGUGAAAAUUGAUGGACUAUUACAUCAUCUUGGAUUGAAAUAGUUGAAAGAAAACAAAGAUAUUGGAGUAAUAGAAAUGUUGUUUGUGUUAGGUUUAAUGAUAUAUAUCUGCUUGGAUUCUAGGUCGGAGUUAAACUUGAGAUUGGACACUUGGAUUUCUGAUAUUUUCGCAUGAGCUUGAAACGGGAGAACUUUGGGGUGUAGCAUGAUCAACCUGAGAUAUAUUGGAUUUAUAUAGGUAUAGUAUAUGAUUAGCAUGAAUGUGGGAUUGGUGGACUAUUGGAUCAUCUUGGAUAUUACUAGUUGGAUUAUAGGUUGGAGAUAACUUGAGCACUUGGAUUUGUGAUAUUUUAACCUAAGCUUGUGCCCCAUAUGGACAUGAGCAUGAAGAUGAUACAAACAGAUUGUAGUUGGUUGACUUUGAUGAUUUUGCUAGCCCUACCCAAGAAUGUUACGAGUACAAGAUCAUCAUGGGAGGAUGAUUUGGAUUAAUUAGAAUAGAUGACAAUUUCAGUGGUACGAGCCUCGUUGGAGAAGUUGACCUUGCUUUUAUUAUGUGUUUGUGCUCCUUUAGAUACAGUAGUAGGAGGGUAUCACUUAUGAAGUGAUUUUAUAUUGGUGAAUAAAUAGAUUUUUAGUAACCUUGGAACAAUUUGGAUUUACUUAUGUGAUUGUGACACAGCGGCGGAUAAAUAACUUCUAAUUUUUGGAUCUAUAGUAAUCCAAUGGAAACUUGCUUUGACUUAGAUAACGAUGAUAGUGGGCUUGGUUGGAUCAUCGAACAUAUAAAGGAUGAGCUGGGUGCUAGGCACAACCGCUGUGUCCACGUAGGCUAUGAAUAGUGCUGGCGAAGUGAGCGUUCUGCCGGCACUGCGUCCACCGCUCCCCCGCCUCGAGCCAGACAACGCCAUGGAGCCUCCGCUCCUCCGCCUCGAGCCACCCCGCGCCUCGUCCGCCUCCUCUCCUCCCUCUCCCUCCUCUUCUCUCCCGCACCGCAAGCCCCUUCUCUCUCCUCCCCCGCGCAAGCCAGCCUCGGAUCUGGAGGAAGAGGAGAUCCGGGCCUCCCGGCGGUGGCUCGACCGAUGCAAGGUGAUGACAAGCUGCCUCCUCCUGCGUGCCCUCUCCCUCGCCGCCGCCACGGCCUCUCCCACCGCUCAUCUCCACCUCCUCCCGCUUUCCCUGUCGCUCACAUCCCUCUCAGUCCAUGGCUUCCGGCGCAUCCCCUCGCGGCGGCCACCACUCCUUGUCUCCUCCUAGGUUCUUGAUCUGGAGCGGGAGGGACAGACGAGGCUACAAGCACCGGCAUGAUUGUCCACAGCACCGUCGCCGUCGUCCUCGACAGUGGGAGGGCGGGCCGCCAAGAAAGCCGGCUCUGUCUUGCUCUCGCGCCACUGUCCAUCCACCUGAGAAGCCCGUCCACACACCUGUCAUUCACGCCCCUCCUCCUCGGCUCAUUCUCAUCUCUGUCAGGCAGAUGAGCUCCUGCUUCCUCUCUGUCUCCCUUUGAUUUUGUGCUUGUGCUGUACUGUGUGUUUGUGCAGUUGCUUUUUGAGCUACGGCUACUACUUGUGCUGCUAGAUGUGUGUGCUGGUUCUGGUGCUGCUAGCUGCUGCUGGUUGCUUGUGUUGCUACUGCUACUACCUGUUGCUGGUUGCUUCUUUAUUUGGUUAAUUGUGACACUGAAAAGCCUUUGUGAAAAGCAAAAAUUGAUGAGAAGGCUAUGAGCUGAUGAGAUGACCUUCAUUUUCAAUAUUUUAUUUAAUAAUUGAUGAAGGAUAUGUCAUAUAUUCAGUUGCUAACAUUUUCUCUAUGGUGUAUGUACCUAUUGUUCAUUGCAUUCGAGGGAGAGGACAACAAGAUUAAGAGAGCCUUGGGACGCGAAGGCAGUAGCAUGCAGCGCCAGGUCAAGUGCACCGACCUCGACGACAAGAGACCAGUACACUUAACAAGAGUAAGAGAGCCUUGGGACAACACUGGAUGAGGGCGUCGACUAAAGGACCGCGAAGACGUCUUCCUCCAAAAUCUUGCCGAGGAUUUUGUUGCAACGACACAGUGCUGACAAUUUUUGUUUUUGGAAUUUGUCAAUGAAAUUCUGCUUGAUCAGGGUUCUUAAAUAUAUGUUCACCAAUUCAGAUGAACUGCUUAUUUUAUGUGCAUACUGGAUAUUUGUCAUAUAUGUAGAAGGUUCUACAAUAUAUCAAAGAAAAACAAAACAGAGAGGAUGCUGGGGCUCGGCCAAGGGAGGCUGCGCUCAGUGCAGUACUGCGGUCUUUACUGCCUUUCACUGUUAAUUAAAUAUAUAUUCUCUUCAUAGUUCAUACAGUUUUAGGCUUUUAGCAGUAUGAAAAGUCACAGAUAAUGUGAUGGUGACAUUUGGGCUUAUACAAGUGUUAGUUGUCAGUCUCUGCCCGCAUGCAUUUGAACGUUGCCUUGGCCAUGAUCCUUAAGCUUGUCAAAAGUUGUGGAUCGAUAGGCAUUGACAAAAAAAAUAUAAGCUCUAUGUUCUGAAAUACAGGUAGAGCAGCAGCUAUAGCACCCCUAGAGAGAUUGCGUUGAUUGAUUCUCAUCGUAUAUAUAACUCAACUAUUUAAAGUAUUCUAUAUACACUGAAAUCGUGCUCAUAAUUUUUUAAAGUAUUCUAUAUGCACUGAAAUCGAGCUCAUAAUUUUUUUAUCAUGUGCCUUUUCUACUAAAGAUCAUUACACUUCUCUUCAGUACAUCAAUGUUACUUCCAAAGCAGAGUCCCUCCUAGAGGACAGUUUCUUUUAUCAGAAGGGUGAGUGUUGUAUAUUUUUCUGUCCACUAAAUGAACUACUUCUGGUUACAUAUUGUGACAGAAUUAAGUAGGCAUAGGCUUGUUCGUUGAUUUUUUUAUACCGAAACUGAAUUGGUAUUGUGUUAAUACAUUAUAGUCAUCCUUGAAGGACAUGUGUUUUAUUGCCAUGCUUGCUUAAUAAUUGCUUGCUGAAGCAUUGGUCCUAAUUUUCCACGGGUUUCGCUGGCGUUGCAUUUUCUUUUUGUAUAUGGUUGCUGCAGUGGCCAUUGAAUAGUGAUUCUAUCCAUUAGUAGUAUCUUGUUAUUAUGAAAGUUUGUGUAUUUUUGUACAUAUGAAGGUUUGUGUAUUUUUCUGAUUUUAUCUUGUCAUCAUGAAGGUUUGUGUAUUUGUUUUUGUGCUGCAUAUAAAUUUGAGGAGAAUGAUUUUAUGGUUCAAAGAGACAGUUUAAUCAUAUUUGAGCUGCCAGCUUGCUUCAGCCAUGUGAUACCGGAGCCCGAGGUUGACAGUGGCCAAAUGACUGAACUUUUUCGCAACAUCAAUAGUACUUCCUCCGUCCGAAAAAGCUUGUCCCAAGCUUGUCUCUCAAAUGGAUGUAUCUAGCACUAACUUGGUCUAGAUACAUCUAUUUUAGGAACAUACUUUUUCGGACGGAGGGAGUAGUACUCUUGAUAAACAUAGCAAUCCUGACCUUUUUGUAUCGUUCGCCUGUUUGCAUGUUUAUAACAGGGGAAUUAGUCCGAGUGUUAUUGGUUCAGUUGCUACAGGUGGAAUAUAUCUUUGGUGUUAUUGAAUCUUUAACCAAGACAUGGCUGGAGGCUGGAGCACACUAAUCCUGAUUGAAUUUGUCAUCUCACUUUAUAGGUGGAGUAAUUGGUGAGAUUUUUUCGGUCUCUUGUAUUUUACUUUCCAGAAAAUCUGCAUGAUGGUACUCAAAAUUUAUGAAUGGUUUUAUUGGCAUGUCAUGGUGUGGAUCGAGAUGAUGUUCAGUAGACUCCCUCAUCACCUUUCCAGUGCUAUUGAUCGCUCACAGCUUGAAUCUGAAUGUGCUUCUUCCAGUCUAUGCUCCCUCUCUUUGGUUCAUUGGCCUCCCAAGACUACUUUGAGUCAAAUUUGUUCUUCUCACAAGCUGGAUCAUCGCAUAACUUAUUGGUGGUUGCACUAGCUGAACUUUGUUAUAAGUUCUGGUGCGCAUUGUAUAUCAUAGAUACAGUGUAUGUAAUCUUCUUGGUGAGUAGGUUUUAGAAUGAUAUAAAUUUUAAAUAUUGAAGCUAGCAUUAUAAUGCUUCAGGAUUUUUCUUUCAAUCAAUUAACUUUUAACUGCUCACUAAUUGAUGCCCAUGCAUGUUCUGUUACAAUUGAAGGUAAUUUACAAGAAACGGUAGAUGUUUUAGUUUUAGUAAAUAUAUCAAAAUGAAAUCUGUGGUCAAUCUAGGUUGUACUAAUAUAUAUGUUUUUAAGAGACUGCUCUGUAUUUAUUUCCUAGCAGGAAUUCCAUACCAUUUCAUGGCCAUUGAAACUUGCCUAUUAACCACGAGAAACCACUUUAGCUCUCUCUGUACGUUGAUCAUUGUAGUGCAGUGUUUGAUAUGUUGCCAAUAGCCUUUCCCUUGGCUCUUCCUCUCUAUUUAGUUAUUCCUCGAAUCAAGUGCAUAGUUAUUUUGCCUAUUGCAGGUUUUGUUAUCGUUAUAAUUGUGUACUCACUUUGUUCUAGGAUAUAAACGCAUAUUAGUUAUUCCUUUAUCAUGCCUGCAAUGUUCUAAACUUUGAAAUCAUAUGGGAUAAAGAUCACGUCUCUUUUUAUUUUGACAUGGCCACCUUUAUCGUUAUACAGUAUUUUUUAUGAAAAACAUUGCAGAUAUUAUUUACAGAUGCAAAUUUGUAUCAGGACUUGAAAAUUUGUAGUCACUGCAUGUUCUCUUAUAUACUCUGUCAUGGUGUACUUCAUUUUAAGCUUCAGAACUAGGAGAUUGGUUUAGAGGUUAUGUGCCUUUGUUUUGUAGUAAGUUGUGGAUGUCAAUGUCAGUUCUUCUGCUGCAAAGUUGGGGAAAGAAUUGCAGUGCAAUCAAGUUUCGUCCGAGCACACAACAUCAGGGACGUGACGAUGAAGCAAUGCCAUUGUCUGGCUAUUCAUACAAUUCUAUAGAAGAUGCAAUGGACGUUGCAACUGCUCGAGUAAUGAAAUAUAUGGAGACCAUGUGUGCCAAGGUAUUGAAAGACUAUAGUUACAACGAGCUGCAACAAACAAAGGAAAGAGAACUGCAUCUGAUUGGUUUGUUAGGACAAAGAGAAAGAAAUCAAAGAACAGGCUCUGAAGAUUAGAGAACUUAGCAAAGACUUUGCAGAUCAGGUUAAAAGCACUUCUUCUGAGAUUCACCGCCCAGCUAAAGGAAGUGUAUGCUCAGCCAAUUCCAUAAGUGGUCGCGAGCUCGACAAAGCGGCUAUAGAUAUUCACAAUGCAAUUGCUCAUCUUGGCCAGUUGAGUGAAAACUCUAUGCAGGUAAUCCAAAACACAUCGGUAUAUCCACGUAGGAGAGGAUCUACUUCCACAGCCUAUGUGCCUUCAGAAGAUGCCGAUACUACCAGCUACAGCAGCCUUCUUUUUGAAUAUCAAGUGAUUACCUUUGUCUAGAGAAGAUCACCGCCAUAGUUCAUCUGCCAGUCUUUCCAGAGCUUCUAUCCCGUUGAUGGACUUUGAACUUAAGCUAUCCCCAGCUAUGUAUGUUAGUUGCGGCAAUCGCAUGUAUAUAGAUUAAACCAUCAGCUACGUUCUAUGUUGCGAGGCAAAUGUCAGUAGUCUCUCAAUAUAACAUGCAGCAGCUUAUUACGUAUUUCCUACGAACAUAUGUUCACUAUUAAUAAACCUACCAUGCAUUGUAAUAUAUAAAGCUAUGUAACACGGAAAUCCUCUUUGGUGCCCGAGCACCAUGUA